rnacentral:rRNA from 2 species
UAGUGAGUUUGAUCCUGGCUCAGAACGAACGCUGGCGGCAGGCUUAACACAUGCAAGUCGAACGGGCGUAGCAAUACGUCAGUGGCAGACGGGUGAGUAACACGUGGGAACGUCCCCUCGGUUCGGAAUAACUCAGGGAAACUUGAGCUAAUACCGGAUACGUCCGAGAGGAGAAAGAUUUAUCGCCGAGGGAUCGGCCCGCGUCUGAUUAGCUAGUUGGUGAGGUAACGGCUCACCAAGGCGACGAUCAGUAGCUGGUCUGAGAGGAUGAUCAGCCACACUGGGACUGAGACACGGCCCAGACUCCUACGGGGAGGCAGCAGUGGGGAAUCUUAGACAAUGGGGGAAACCCUGAUCUAGCCAUGCCGCGUGAUCGAUGAAGGCCCUUAGGGUUGUAAACGAUCUUUCAGUGGGGAAGAUAAUGACGGUACCCACAGAAGAAAGCCCCCGGCUAACUCCGUGCCAGCAGCCGCGGUAAUCUGA